AACGUGCUCCGGGGUCGGUGGGAAUCCGAACCGGCGGUGACAGUCCGCGAGCGUCUCGAUUCGUCGAGAUGCCGAUCCGGUGGAAAUCCGGAACCGACGGUGAUGCGAGGCGCAGCCUCGCUAGUCCGGAAGGGAGGCAGCACGGU
rnacentral:ncRNA from 2 species